rnacentral:rRNA from 1 species
AGAGUUUGAUCCUGGCUCAGGAUGAACGCUAGCUACAGGCUUAACACAUGCAAGUCGAGGGGCAGCAUGGUCUUAGCUUGCUAAGGCCGAUGGCGACCGGCGCACGGGUGAGUAACACGUAUCCAACCUGCCGUCUACUCUUGGACAGCCUUCUGAAAGGAAGAUUAAUACAAGAUGGCAUCAUGAGUUCACAUGUUCACAUGAUUAAAGGUAUUCCGGUAGACGAUGGGGAUGCGUUCCAUUAGAUAGUAGGCGGGGUAACGGCCCACCUAGUCUUCGAUGGAUAGGGGUUCUGAGAGGAAGGUCCCCCACAUUGGAACUGAGACACGGUCCAAACUCCUACGGGAGGCAGCAGUGAGGAAUAUUGGUCAAUGGGCGCAGGCCUGAACCAGCCAAGUAGCGUGAAGGAUGACUGCCCUAUGGGUUGUAAACUUCUUUUAUAAAGGAAUAAAGUCGGGUAUGUAUACCCGUUUGCAUGUACUUUAUGAAUAAGGAUCGGCUAACUCCGUGCCAGCAGCCGCGGUAAUACGGAGGAUCCGAGCGUUAUCCGGAUUUAUUGGGUUUAAAGGGAGCGUAGAUGGAUGUUUAAGUCAGUUGUGAAAGUUUGCGGCUCAACCGUAAAAUUGCAGUUGAUACUGGAUAUCUUGAGUGCAGUUGAGGCAGGCGGAAUUCGUGGUGUAGCGGUGAAAUGCUUAGAUAUCACGAAGAACUCCGAUUGCGAAGGCAGCCUGCUAAGCUGCAACUGACAUUGAGGCUCGAAAGUGUGGGUAUCAAACAGGAUUAGAUACCCUGGUAGUCCACACGGUAAACGAUGAAUACUCGCUGUUUGCGAUAUACGGCAAGCGGCCAAGCGAAAGCGUUAAGUAUUCCACCUGGGGAGUACGCCGGCAACGGUGAAACUCAAAGGAAUUGACGGGGGCCCGCACAAGCGGAGGAACAUGUGGUUUAAUUCGAUGAUACGCGAGGAACCUUACCCGGGCUUAAAUUGCAGAUGAAUUACGGUGAAAGCCGUAAGCCGCAAGGCAUCUGUGAAGGUGCUGCAUGGUGUCGU